CUCUCACUUCCAAGGGAUCCCUUCCACAGCUCCCACAAUCAUUUCCCUCCUCUUCUGCUUCUUCUGCAUCCCACAAAAACUGAGUUGAGGUGCUCUGCUCUGCUGAUUUUCGUUUUGUUUCCCUUGUGACAAAACCUUAUACUUCUUCUGAAACAAGUUCCGGAGAAGGGCUCUUCCCUGAUAAAAGAAGAGACACAAAACAAAACUCAAACAAGUUCUUCUCGUGGCCAUGUUUUCAUUUGUGCGGUUAGGUCUCCUCGAGGAACAUACAUACCAAGAUUAGUUCUCCUGGAGGAACAUAUAUACCAAGAUUGUUUUGUUUACCUG